rnacentral:misc_RNA from 1 species
GUUUUUUUUUAAUUUUUUUCAGGUUCUCUACUGUGAUUUUAGUGACCAUUUCUGGGAAAGUGCCAUCAUCAACCAUUAUUUACUUCAAGUACUGUCAUAUCAACAAUCGCAUGCUGCUUCAAAAACAUGUCAGUGUGGUGUAUUUUCCACUUACAAUAGCUUGUUCCUCACAGGGUUUAACACAUACAUUCCAUCAAUCAAGCUAAACUUGGAAAGGCACAGGGCAAUUCUAUGUUAGCAGGAUUUAGGAACAGAACCAUCUCCCCAUUCCACUAAUACAAAAGAGAAGGGGACAUAGAAGGGAAAGAAAUAAAAAUCCCCAGCAAAGCUUUAAAUCACAGUAUCUUUGCGUGUUGUAAAAGGAAACACUAGCAGCAAAAUGCUUUAGAAAUAUGACACAAUUGAUACAUGCAUAAUGGAGAUGUGUCAGCAACUCUUCUACAUAUAAUCCCUUUUUUGACAACAAAAGACAAAAUACUUGAGAAAUGCGUCACAUCAUAUCUUGAAGUCUCGUACACUCGUAUAGAAGUACCAAUUAUGCCUUGGCAAAAAAAAAAUUGGCGACAGGAUAUGCAAACAAUA